UGCGCCAGUGAGACUGCGGAGCCGCGUGAGUCGGCCUGCAGCGGGGGCGAGGCUGCGUGGCGGGCGGGGUGGGGCCAACAAUGCAGGGUAGCAGCUCUGAGCCCCUCCCCCUCAUGGGGUCAGAGCCCAGGCUCCAGCCCAAGCCUGAAUGUCCACGCUGCAGUUUCGGAGCCCCCCAACCCGGGUCAGCUGGCCUGGGCCAGCCUUGGCAGUGCCCCAGUCUUUGACUGCAGUACAGACGCACCCCAAGAUCCAGGAAGGAUGUGGGCCAGGCCAACACAAAGAGGAUAGGAACUGCCUUGCCCUGGCCAGGACACUGCCAGAGCAAAACCCCAAGUAUAAACAAGGCUUCAGAACAAUUGCAGAGCUGGACCAAUGGCUCAGUGGGGUGUGCUUUGCUGUGCAUGAAACCUAGACGCCACAGUCAGUGUCUUUGGGCCCUGCCUGAGAGGAGUAUUCACAGGUCAAAUGGUCUGUAGAGGGCGGAGGCUCAACCAGGCUCAGCUCUCUGCCAAGACACACACCUG